rnacentral:rRNA from 1 species
GUGGGGAAUUUUGGACAAUGGGCGCAAGCCUGAUCCAGCAAUGCCGCGUGCAGGAAGAAGGCCUUCGGGUUGUAAACUGCUUUUGUACGGAACGAAACGGUCCUGGCUAAUAUCCGGGGCUAAUGACGGUACCGUAAGAAUAAGCACCGGCUAACUACGUGCCAGCAGCCGCGGUAAUACGUAGGGUGCGAGCGUUAAUCGGAAUUACUGGGCGUAAAGCGUGCGCAGGCGGUGCUGUAAGACAGGCGUGAAAUCCCCGGGCUCAACCUGGGAAUUGCGCCUGGGACUGCAGUGCUGGAGUGCGGCAGAGGGGGAUGGAAUUCCGCGUGUAGCAGUGAAAUGCGUAGAUAUGCGGAGGAACACCGAUGGCGAAGGCAAUCCCCUGGGCCUGCACUGACGCUCAUGCACGAAAGCGUGGGGAGCAAACAGGAUUAGAAACCCCAGUAGUCC